CGGGGGGCAGUCAGUUGAGGCGGCGGGAGCUCGGCGGAGGGCGGGCCAGGUGACUGGUCCGGGCCAUGCCGAGGAAGAAGCCAUUCAGCGUGAAGCAGAAGAAGAAGCAGUUGCAGGACAAACGGGAGCGGAAGAGAGGGCUUCAAGAUGGGCUGCGCUCCAGUUCCAACAGCCGCAGCGGGAGCCGGGAGCGGCGAGAGGAACAGACCGACACCUCGGACGGGGAGUCUGUGACCCAUCAUAUCCGCAGGCUUAACCAGCAGCCUUCUCAGGGGCUGGGUCCACGAGGCUACGACCCAAAUCGAUACCGACUGCAUUUUGAGAGAGACAGCAGGGAGGAGGUAGAGAGGAGAAAGAGAGCAGCCCGGGAGCAAGUUCUACAGCCGGUCAGUGCUGAGGUGUUGGAGCUGGACAUCCGGGAGGUGUAUCAACCUGGCUCAGUUCUGGACUUUCCUCGACGUCCUCCUUGGAGCUAUGAGAUGUCCAAGGAGCAACUAAUGAGCCAAGAGGAACGGAGCUUCCAAGACUAUCUUGGGAAGAUUCAUGGGGCUUACUCCUCUGAGAAACUCAGCUACUUUGAGCACAAUCUGGAGACAUGGAGGCAGCUGUGGCGGGUGUUAGAGAUGUCUGACAUCGUCCUGCUUAUCACUGAUAUCCGACAUCCAGUUGUGAAUUUCCCGCCAGCACUUUAUGAGUAUGUGACUGGAGAACUUGGGCUGGCCCUGGUGCUGGUUUUGAACAAGGUGGAUCUGGCCCCGCCUGCUCUUGUGGUUGCCUGGAAGCAUUAUUUCCAUCAACACUAUCCCCAGCUCCACGUCGUCCUUUUCACCUCUUUUCCUCGGGACCCCCGCACCCCACAGGACCCUAGUAGUGUCUUGAAGAAGAGUCGGAGGCGGGGGAGAGGAUGGACUCGGGCCCUGGGGCCAGAGCAGUUGCUGAGAGCCUGUGAAGCCAUCACUGUGGGGAAAGUGGACUUGAGCAGCUGGCGGGAGAAGAUUGCUCGGGAUGUGGCUGGGGCCACCUGGGGUAAUGGCUCUGGGGAGGAGGAGGAAGAGGAGGAUGGCCCAGCAGUCCUGGUGGAGCAGCAGACUGAUUCAGCAAUGGAGCCAACUGGCCCAACCCGAGAGCGCUACAAGGAUGGGGUGGUGACCAUCGGCUGUGUGGGUUUCCCUAAUGUGGGAAAGUCCUCGCUGAUCAAUGGGCUGGUGGGGCGGAAAGUCGUGAGUGUCUCCAGAACCCCGGGCCAUACCCGAUACUUUCAGACCUACUUUCUUACCCCCUCUGUGAAGCUCUGUGACUGCCCAGGCCUCAUCUUCCCAUCUCUUCUGCCUAGGCAGUUGCAGGUUCUGGCAGGGAUCUACCCUAUCGCCCAGAUCCAGGAGCCCUACACUGCUGUGGGCUACCUGGCCUCCCGAAUUCCCGUGCAGGCCCUGCUCCACCUGCGCCACCCAGAGGCUGAGGACCCCUCAGCGGAACACCCCUGGUGUGCCUGGGACAUCUGUGAAGAGAUUCUGCCAUUGAUGAAGCUGCUGUCCACUCACCCCUAGAUUUUUGUUGCAUAGCCACCUGGGCAGAGAAACGUGGUUACAAGACAGCCAAGGCGGCUCGGAAUGAUGUGUACAGAGCAGCCAACAGUCUCUUGCGGCUGGCAGUGGACGGCCGCCUCAGCCUGUGUUUUCAUCCCCCAGGCUACAGUGAACAGAAAGGCACCUGGGAGUCCCAUCCAGAGACCACGGAGCUGGUGGUUUUGCAGGGCAGGGUGGGGCCAGCAGGUGACGAGGAGGAGGAGGAAGAGGAAGAGCUGAGCAGCUCCUGUGAGGAGGAGGGAGAGGAGGACCGGGAUGCGGAUGAGGAGGGAGAAGGGGAUGAGGAGACCCCAACCUCGGCUCCAGGGUCCAGCCUGGCUGGCCGAAACCCUUAUGCCCUGCUGGGUGAGGAUGAGUGCUGAGUUCCUCGCCCAGCACCAUCUUCCCUCCCAGUAUCUUUGCUUUUGGACUGACCUGGGGGUAUCUCCCCUUUGCCACCCCAAUUGUGAAUAAAGAUUGUUUGCUUUGUA